GACGAACGCUGGCGGCGUGCUUAACACAUGCAAGUCGAGCGGUAAGGCUCCUUCGGGAGUACACGAGCGGCGAACGGGUGAGUAACACGUGAGUAAUCUGCCCUUCACUUCGGGAUAACCACCGGAAACGGUGGCUAAUACCGAAUACGACCAGUCUUCGCAUGAGGUGCUGGUGGAAAGUCUUUUCGGUGAAGGAUGUGCUCGCGGCCUAUCAGCUUGUUGGUGGGGUAAUGGCCUACCAAGGCUUCGACGGGUAGCCGGCCUGAGAGGGUGACCGGCCACACUGGGAUUGAGACACGGCCCAGACUCCUACGGGAGGCAGCAGUGGGGAAUAUUGGACAAUGGGCGAAAGCCUGAUCCAGCAACGCCGCGUGAGGGAUGACGGCCUUCGGGUUGUAAACCUCUUUCAGUACCGACGAAGCGCCCUGUCGGGUGGUGACGGUAGGUACAGAAGAAGGACCGGCCAACUACGUG
rnacentral:rRNA from 1 species